rnacentral:rRNA from 1 species
AUUGAACGCUGGCGGUAGGCUUAACACAUGCAAGUCGAACGAGUGGCGGACGGGUGUGUAAUGCUUGGGAAUCUAGCUUAUGGAGGGGGAUACCUACGGGAAACUGUAGCUAAUACCGCGUACCUUAGGAUGAGCCUAGGUGGGAUUAGGUAGUGGGUGGGGUAAAGGCUAACCAGGCCGACGACCUCUAGCUGGUCUGAGAGGAGGACCAGCCACACUGGGACUGAGACACGGCCCAGACUCCUACGGGAGGCAGCAGUGGGGAAUAUUGCGCAAUGGGGGCAACCUGACGCAGCCAUGCCGCGUGAAUGAAGAAGGCCUUCGGGUUGUAAAGUUCUUUCGGUAGCGAGGCGUUAACUACAGAAAAAGCACCGGCUAACUCCGUGCCAGCAGCCGCGGUAAUAC